GCUAAUACCGGAUAAUAUAUUGAACCGCAUGGUUCAAUAGUGAAAGACGGUUUUGCUGUCACUUAUAGAUGGAUCCGCGCCGCAUUAGCUAGUUGGUAAGGUAACGGCUUACCAAGGCAACGAUGCGUAGCCGACCUGAGAGGGUGAUCGGCCACACUGGAACUGAGACACGGUCCAA
rnacentral:rRNA from 1 species